rnacentral:rRNA from 1 species
ACCUACGGGACGCAGCAGUGAGGAAUAUCGGUCAAUGGACGGAAGUCUGAACCAGCCAAGUAGCGUGCAGGACGACGGCCCUAUGGGUUGUAAACUGCUUUUGUAUGGGGAUAAAGUCAAUCACGUGUGAUUGUUUGCAGGUACCAUACGAAUAAGGACCGGCUAAUUCCGUGCCAGCAGCCGCGGUAAUACGGAAGGUUCGGGCGUUAUCCGGAUUUAUUGGGUUUAAAGGGAGCGUAGGCCGGAGAUUAAGUGUGUUGUGAAAUGUAGACGCUCAACGUCUGACUUGCAGCGCAUACUGGUUU